UGUCCUAUGCUAUGAAUAGUGCUAGCCUAGUACUGAAGGUAGGUCAAUGUUAGUGACUCUAUACAUAAUACCUUUGACCAUAUAUGGAGAACCAAAGAACAUAAUGAAGCUGGUUGGUUGCUCCUAACUUCAGUGGACAAAGGGAUGAAAGAAAAUGAUGAAAGCCUCGCCAGGUGUCUACUGUUAAAGUGAGGGCAUUGAUUGGAAGAGAAUGGGACUCUGCAACUUGGAAUGGGGAUGUAUGGGAGGACCUGAUGAAGCUGGGGACACUGAGUUUGUAAACUCUGAUGAAACUUUUUUGCCAGAAGGAACAGCUUUCCCAUUCACAGUAAUGACAACAUCCCCUCCCCAACCCAUGCUGCCAUCAGCCUUUCCACCUUUUCUGAGGAGACAAACCCUGUGCUGCCUGAGUCAACAGUGAUGACCUGCCCUGAGGCAGUUGCCAAGCAAGAUAAUGUUGUUUCUCCUUAGGAGCCACCCCCAACACCCCUGUUUGCUUCUAGACUUAUAACUAGAAUAAAGUCCCAGUGGGUCCCUAGAGGUGAGGUGGGAAUGGAUAUUAAGGGUAUGGGAUAAUGGUGGAAGGAACAGAAUUGGAUCAGGCUGAAUUUACUGAUUUGGGUCCACUAAGAAAGAACUCUGUUAUUAAUUUUGCAGCUUGGGGAGUUUAAAAAGGUUCUAAUAGUUUAUUUGCUUGGUUAGCUGAAAUAUGAAUUAAAAGAUGGCCCACUGUGAGUAAGCUGGUAAUGCCUGAUCUCCCUUGGUUUAAUGUAGAGGAAGGGAUCCAAAGGCUUAGGGAGAUUGGGAUGGUGAAGUGGAUUAGUCAUCUUAGACCUACUCAUCCCAGCUGGGAGGGUCCAGAAAAUAUACCCUUGACCAAUGCCUUGCAAAAUAGAUUUGUAAGGGCAGCACCUGCAUCUUUGAUGACCCCUGUAAUUGCUCUUCUCUGUAUGUCAGAUCUAACAGUGGGAAAUGCAGCCUCUCAACUACAAAAUUUAAAUACAAUGGGAAUAAUUGGUUUCUGGGGUGGCAAAAUUUAAAUACAAUGGGAACAAUUGGUUCUGGCAGGGGCCAAGUGGCAGCACUCAACCAUCAAAGGCCAGGUGGGUGUAACUACCGUAAUGGACAGCAGAGGCAAAGCAGCAAUCAGAAUAGUCUGAUUCAUGUAGAACACUAGUCCGUUACAUUGGUGAUAUUAUGCUGAUUGGAUCCAGUGAGCAAGAAGUAGUAAACACAUUGCUACCUCGGUAAAAUUUCUAGGGAUCCAGUGGUGUGAGGCCUGUUGAGGUAUACUCCUUGUAAGGUGAAGGAUAAGUUGCUGCAUUUGGCUCCUCAUACAACCAAGAAAGAGAAACAAUGCCUAGUAGGCCUGUUUGGAUUUGGGAGGCAACACAUUCCUCAUUUGGGUGUGUUACUCUCGCUUAGAGCAAGGUUCUGCCAUAUUCUGCAGAUAACUACUUUCCUUUUGAGAGACAGCUCUUGGCCUGUUACUGGGCUUUGUUGGAAACUGACCGUUUGACUGUGGGUCAUCAUGGAAGUGGUAUAUACGUGAUCAGACUCGAGCAGGUCCUGAAGGCACAAGUAAGUUACAUGAGGAAGUGGCUCAAAUGCCCAUGGUCUCCACCCCACCACCCUGCCUUCUCUUCCCCAGCCUGCACCAGUGGCCUCAUGGGGAGUUCCCUAUCAUCAGUUGACAGAGGAAGAGAAGACUAGGGCCUGGUUCACAGAUGAUUCUGC
rnacentral:lncRNA from 1 species